rnacentral:ncRNA from 1 species
CUUACAGUGAUGAAGCGGAGCAGUACCCGGGAAGACCGCCCCCAAGAGAGCCUCUGGUCUGGUGGAAAGAGGCGGGCAGGGCCCGGCGAAUACACCGCGGAGCUGGCACCCAAACGGCCUUCGGCCCAGUAGGCGUGCUCCGGGAGCGCCCGUUACAGCGCCGCCGUGUGUUCGCACGGCCUGAGGCGUCUGCCCGCGAGGGCGGCGCGAACAGAGGUGGUACCGCGAGAACUUCUCGCCCUCUGU